rnacentral:rRNA from 1 species
CCUACGGGAGGCAGCAGUGGGGAAUAUUGCACAAUGGGGGAAACCCUGAUGCAGCGACGCCGCGUGAGUGAAGAAGUAUUUCGGUAUGUAAAGCUCUAUCAGCAGGGAAGAAAAUGACGGUACCUGACUAAGACGCCCCGGCUAACUACGUGCCAGCAGCCGCGGUAAUACGUAGGGGGCAAGCGUUAUCCGGAUUUCCUGGGUUUAAAGGGAGCGUAGACGGCAGCACAAGUCUGGAGUGAAAUGCCCUGGCUUAACCCCGGAACUGCUUUGGAAACUGUGCAGCUAGAGUGCAGGAGAGGUAAGCGGAAUGCCUAGUGUAGCGGUGAAAUGCGUAGAGAUUAGGAGGAACACCAGUGGCGAAGGCGGCUUACUGGACUGUAACUGACGUUGAGGCUCGAAAGCGUGGGGAGCAAACAGGAUUAGAUACCCUAGUAGUC